rnacentral:rRNA from 1 species
GAUGAAGAAGAACGCAGCAACCUUCCGUAGGGUGAACCUGGCGGAGGGAUCAUUACCGAGUUU